UCGAGAAUCUUCGGCAAUGAGCGCAAGCUUGACCGAGCGACGCCGCGUGCGGGAUGAAGGCCUUCGGGUUGUAAACCGCUUUGGUCCGAAAGAAAGGGUAAAACUUGAUCGAUCGGAGAAACAAGGACGGGCUAAGUUCGUGCCAGCAGCCGCGGUAAGACGAACCGUCCAAACGUUAUUCGGAAUCACUGGGCUUAAAGGGCGCGUAGGCGGCCGAGCGGGUCGUGGGUGAAAUCCUCCAGCUUAACUGGAGAACUGCUGACGAUACCACUGCGGCUCGAGGAAGGAAGGGGCAAUCGGAACUGUCGGUGGAGCGGUGAAAUGCGUUGAUAUCGACAGGAACGCCGGUGGCGAAAGCGGAUUGCUGGUCCUUUUCUGACGCUGAGGCGCGAAAGCCAGGGGAGCAAACGG
rnacentral:rRNA from 1 species